AAAAGAUUAGUUAAAAUAUAACUUUAAAAUGUCAAUUUAAAAUUAUUAAUUAAAAUUAAUAUCUUUUA
rnacentral:tRNA from 1 species